rnacentral:lncRNA from 1 species
UGAAUCAUAUUCCUCAUCACGGCGUGCAAAUUUCUUGCGGAGCAUCGUCUCUAACUCAAUUUCAUCAAAGCUCUUUGCAUUUUCUGCUGCAUGAACUUGCGCCAAAUUGGUAUAAUUGAGAGCCGACUGAGAAAUGAAGGUCAUCUCUUCUUCUGUUAGCUUUCUUAGGAACUUGGCAGGGUUACCUCCCCAAACCUGUAUUUGUAAAGGAAAAUAUAUGUUAACAAGUUUGGAACUUCCUUUAUAACGUUUGCUUUUUGAGCUAAAAGUUGAUCCAAUUCAUCUCCCCCCAUGUUAAUCUAAAAAUUUUAACUCUGAGAGGACCACAAGCAAAGCCACCACCAAGGUUUUCUUGUCUAAUAAGUGUUAAAACUAACAUGUUUUAACCUUAUUUUUAAUGGGUUUUUGGAUAUUCAAUGUUAAUUAUGAGUUUUAUACUCCUAAUCCUUUAAAUUUAUUAUUUAAUGUUUAAUAGAGCACUUGGACGCAGAAGGAGCAAAAACCGAAGCGUCGGAGCAAGUUGUAGGAUCCACACGAGCUGAACCAUUUUACACAACCGUGUGACCCACACAGGCGUGUGGAUUUCGCGGAAUUGCGCACCGAACAGUGAAAAAUCACGAUUUUUGAGCUUUUUGGGCCUUCUAAGAUGUAUAUAUGACAAAAAUAAGAAGAAGAGAGCCGUUAGAGAAUACUCAAGAAAACAACUCGAAAAACACCAUUGAAGCCGACUUUGAAGUAGAUUUCCGUCAAUAUUGAAGAUUCUCAGUUGAUAUCUUAGAAAAAUAUCAUGAGUUUCUUUGUUUCUUUCAAUUAUACCAUAUUUUGGAUAUUUUUAUUUUCAAGCAUGAACUAAUUUUUUAAAUACUUAGGGGAGAUGAACCAUAUAAUGAAUUUUGUCGUUUGAUUUUUAUUUUACACAAUAAAUACUUAAUUCUUGCUCUCAAUUAUGUGUGCUUAAUUCUUGGUUUGAUAUUUCUAGAGUAUUGGUCCAUGUUUGAUGUGCUUAAAUCGAAUGUUGAAUAGACCCUAUUUAAAAGUAGAUCUUGCGUAAUUGAGUGAAGUUGCAUGCAAUCCUAGAAAUAGGACGAUAUAAAUAUACUGGAUUAGAAUCAAAUCUAAUAGGGAAAUCCAUAGUACGAAUUAAU